UGAUUUCUCAAAUUCCAUGUGGUACACCAAAGGAUUCAACAAGCUCGAAACCUGUUACCUUUUCCACUCAUAUCCGAGAGAAUGGGGAGAAGGUGGGCUUCUCUAAAGCCCUAGCCAGAUUCUUAUUGUAUCUAAUUGAAUAUGGCCAUUCCGGAAUGUGAUGAUGUAUUGUUUAUGAUCUAAUAAAGCCACUGGAGAUCAGUUUGCAAAGCCAGCCGUAAUAGUUAGCUAUGGAAGACAGACACACAUCCUUAAUCCCAGGACUCAGGUAGACGGAUCACCAUUAGUUCAAGGACACGCUGACCACAUGAAAGAAACAGCUUACUCAAAGGAGAUCUCAGCAUCUGGGACCACAUGCCUUCAAUCCCAGCUCUAGGGAGGUGGAAACAGGAGUGAUAAGACUGGGCAGAGAAAGGAAUAUAAGGAAGAGGAGACAAGAAUUGAGAACUUUUGCCUAUGAGGAUUGGUGGAGACAAGAUUUCAGCUGGGUAGAGUGCUUUGUGUCCCCUGAUGUGCUGAGGCAAAACAAGACUCAUUUCCUGCUCCCUCCUUGGAGGUGGCGGUGCUAUGUUGGCAAGCUCUGGAAUCUUUAAGAAUGUCAACUUCCCUAAGAAGACAGGAAGAGGAUCUCCAUGAGUGACUGCCUACCUUAGGUUAGCCUGUGGGCGUGGCUGUGAUGGGAUUGUCUUGAUGGUGUUAAGGGAUGCAGGAAGACUCAGACUGACUGGACUGGCUGUGCUGUGGUUACUUCAUGUACCAAUGGAGCAGGAGUUUGUAAUGGCUGAAUACUAAGGCGAUCAAAUUACAGAGACCAAACAUUUAAUGGGAUCAUUGCUCUCCAUCAAAGAAUGCAGACAACCUUCCAUUGCUUCCCGCACAAUGGUCCCUGUGCCGGCAGCCUGUAACAAUAUAUGUCUAAAUACUUUCACAGGUCACAGAAAUUUUGCUUUUGUGUUUUCUCCUCAGAUCUUUUUAGCAUCAUGGACAUUAAGAGCAUACCAUCUUCCCUUGUGCGUUCAGUUUAACCCAUGGUGUUAGCCCAGCACCCUGGAGCAGGUCCGCUGAGUGCUUACCAGGACCUCAUGGUUCUACAUUACUAGGUAGGCUCCUUGUGCUUCAGUUGCAUCCAUGUUUAGGGUGCCACAUAUGUGGACUGCCAUUGGCUAUUAUGAGGAACUGAAGAGUUCUAGAUUCAGGACCAGGGAACUCUAGGCAAUGGUGCUCCAGUGUGAGUGCUUUACUGGCAUUCUGUGAAGCUUUUAUUCUAGAUAGCUCUGAGUUCAAAGCAGAGACAGAGACAGACAGUGACAAACAUAAUGCCCCUGAGUUCACAAAGAUGUAAUGCUGGGCACAGAAUUAUUGGUAGGACACAUCUUGCCUUUGGCAUUCCUUGUGUUGGCAGAGUCAAUUCUCCCAAGGGAGUAAACCAAUUUCUAGGAUAACUGGGUUCACACAGUAGGACAAUAUUGGAAAGUUUAUUACAUGCAGGCUACAAUGCAUACUGCACAUGAUAAGAGACUUUGUAGGACAUGGGGAGAAAUAAGCUUGGGGUGAGUCACAGAAACUCUGUCCUAACACAUGAUUCACUCAGAGGUAAAGGCCCAUGUGUAGUUUCUUGUUUCCCACAAAAUUCAUAGCAACAUAGGUCAAAGAGAUUUAAAUGAAAUUUAAGAAAUUCUUGUAAAUACUUUUAAAAAAAUGGAGUCCUACUCCCAAAGACUCUUGAGUAGGACAGAGAAACAUGCUGCCAUCGAUUGGAUGUUCAUGUUUGUGGAUCCUAGCACCCAUCCUGGCACUCCCUUGAUGGACAUCUGCUUGAAUCAUUUUGUUUUGCAAAAUUCUGCUUCACCCACAGGAAACGCAUGUCUUGGCCCAGUUUGAACACAAUCUUUUUCCCAAAGAUUUUGAAAAACGAACAAAAGUUAUUAAAUUGCCAAGGAGCACAAGAGGCUUUUUAACAAAUUAGUGACAGGAGCUGUCUGGCAUUAAGCUUGUAAAAAUACUUAGAAAUUUCAUGUUACAGGGGCUGGAUGCUUAAAGAGUAAGAAGCUGCCAUGAUUCUUUAAAACAUUUCCAUUUCUAUUUUCCUCCAAAUUGGAGACUAAUAUGUAUAACAAAUGAAAAGAAACAAUACCAGCGAUAAAACUGAAUGUAGAAGGCCCAAGGCCUUGUGAGAGCCUGGAGGAAGCAGUCCGUGGAGCUGAAUAUGAGAAGGAGGAUAGAGACCCAGGGAUGUGCCAGAACCAGCAGAGAGGAGAGUGUUGUAGGGAAGGAGAGAAGUCCAUGCAAUGUACUGUUUCAUACCACUUGGGAACUAUGCCUUAAUCCUGGUGUGACUCUGAUGGAGACAUACUUUCCAAAGAACUCAAAACAUCAGGAUUCCCUCUCCCCACCCCCCCACCCCCUCCCUGUAUUGUGGAUGGGAAACCUAUAAGUAGAAGGGCUUCUGAAAUAGUUUGUAAAUAGGUUCAUGAGCCUGGGAAAGGUGAAUGAUUGAUGCCCAUUUAUUUACUCACUAAUUAACAUAUGUGAUUUAAGAAAAUCAUUGCAUACUUCCUGUGUGUCUGCUUCCAGGAUUGAUCAAUUUCAUGAAUUGUAUGCCAUUUAAAUUUAUAUUUUCCUUAAAGCUAUAUUGUCUAUGUCAUGCUCAUGUAUAAAAAUAAAAUUCUUAGGGACAAAGUUAGCAAUACAGUAUAUGCAAAGAAAAUGUAAAACACAUUGAAAGACAGUUCUAAAUAAUACACUUUGGAUAUAUAUGUAUGAGAUUCCAUAUACCCAAUAGCACCGAGGAUUUACUGUCAUGAACUCAAAAGCAGCAGGAUUCCCAAAAGACAAUUACAAGGUGAUUCUUAAUGGGUAAAGGAACUAAGGGUUGAAUACAGUUGAUUACAGUUGACUAACAUGUUGAGAAGAACCCAAGACCAGACAGGUCAGAAACCUCAGGGAAAAACAAAUCCUAUUGUUCUGCUAAAGAAACAGCCAUAAAAUGACUUCUAAUGACAUUUUGCUAUACGUAUAGAUCUGUGUCUUGUUCAGCCAUCAUCAGAGAAGCUUCCUCCUGCAGCAGAUGGGCACAAUUACAGAGACCCACAGCCAGACAAUAUGUAGACAAGAGACCUUUGAACACUCAGCCACAAAAAGGAUAUCUCCAUCAAACCCCUCUUCUUAGGGCUCAGAAAACACUAUGGAAGAGGAAGUUUAAAGGACAUAAGGUCCCGAAGGAAUGGAAGACACCAAAGAAUCAAGACCUAGACACAGCAGGGCUGGCGUAAAUAUGAACUCAGAGAGACUGAGGCAGCAUGCCCGGCCUGCAUCAGGUGAAGUCCUAGAGCUGAAAGGAGAAGUGGACACAUCCCUAACCUGGAAGCUACCUCCAAUUGAUAGCAACUUGCAAUUGAAAACUUAGCUUUCUCCAACGGAGUCUCACUGGAGUUACCACCUGCUCUUAAGGAUAGGCCACACACCCAGUAAUACAUGGCUAACACCAAACCUACUGAAUGGAGGCUCUUUGUCUCAGAACAUUAAGCUGGGUAUUCUUUUUACCCUUAUAGGGCCCUUUAUUUACAUGCAUGUUAUUUACAUAAACUGUUUUUGCGUUUUCAUGGGAUUCCCGUGUGUGUGAGGGUGGGUGUGUCUCUG